UACGUAGGGUGCGAGCGUUAAUCGGAAUUACUGGGCGUAAAGCGUGCGCAGGCGGUUCGUUGUGUCGGCGGUGAAAGCCCCGGGCUUAACCUGGGAAUGGCCGUCGAAACUGGCGAACUGGAGUGUGGCAGAGGGGGUGGAAUUCCGCGUGUAGCAGUGAAAUGCGUAGAGAUGCGGAGGAACACCGAUGGCGAAGGCAGCCCCUGGGUCAAGAUUGACGCUCAUGCACGAAAGCGUGGGGAGCAAACAGG
rnacentral:rRNA from 1 species